rnacentral:rRNA from 1 species
UACGAAGGGGGCUAGCGUUGCUCGGAAUCACUGGGCGUAAAGGGUGCGUAGGCGGGUCUUUAAGUCAGAGGUGAAAGCCUGGGAGCUCAACUCCAGAACUGCCUUUGAUACUGAGGAUCUCGAGUUCGGGAGAGGUGAGUGGAACUGCGAGUGUAGAGGUGAAAUUCGUAGAUAUUCGCAAGAACACCAGUGGCGAAGGCGGCUCACUGGCCCGAUACUGACGCUGAGGCACGAAAGCGUGGGGAGCAAACAGG